rfam:Candidatus Pacebacteria bacterium RIFCSPHIGHO2_01_FTLL_46_16 rifcsphigho2_01_scaffold_293, whole genome shotgun sequence.
CGGGGAGUAGCUCAGAUGGCUAGAGUGCACGCUUUGGGAGCGUGAGGUCGCAGGUUCGAGCCCUGUCUCCCCGA